rnacentral:rRNA from 1 species
UACAGAGGAGCCAAGCGUUGUCCGGAUUGACUGGGCGUAAAGCGCACGCAGGCGGAUGCGCGCGUGGGGUGUGAAAUCUGGCCGCUUAACGGCCAGGCGCCAUCCCAUACGGCGCGUCUGGAGUGAUGCAGAGGUCGAUGGAAUUGCCGGUGUAGUGGUGAAAUGCGCAGAUAUCGGGAGGAACACCGGUGGCGAAGGCGGUUCUCUGGGCCUUACCUGACGCUGAGGAGCGAAAGCGUGGGGAGCGAACAGG